rnacentral:rRNA from 1 species
UGCACCUCUUGAGAGCGGCGGACGGGUGAGUAAUGCCUAGGAAUCUGCCUAGUGGUGGGGGAUAACGUUCGGAAACGGACGCUAAUACCGCAUACGUCCUACGGGAGAAAGCGGGGGAUCUUCGGACCUCGCGCCAUUAGAUGAGCCUAGGUCGGAUUAGCUAGUUGGUGAGGUAAUGGCUCACCAAGGCGACGAUCCGUAACUGGUCUGAGAGGAUGAUCAGUCACACUGGAACUGAGACACGGUCCAGACUCCUACGGGAGGCAGCAGUGGGGAAUAUUGGACAAUGGGCGAAAGCCUGAUCCAGCCAUGCCGCGUGUGUGAAGAAGGUCUUCGGAUUGUAAAGCACUUUAAGUUGGGAGGAAGGGUCGCAACCUAAUACGUUACGGCUUUGACGUUACCGACAGAAUAAGCACCGGCUAACUUCGUGCCAGCAGCCGCGGUAAUACGAAGGGUGCAAGCGUUAAUCGGAAUUACUGGGCGUAAAGCGCGCGUAGGUGGUUCAGCAAGUUGGAUGUGAAAGCCCCGGGCUCAACCUGGGAACUGCAUCCAAAACUACUGAGCUAGAGUACGGUAGAGGGUAGUGGAAUUUCCUGUGUAGCGGUGAAAUGCGUAGAUAUAGGAAGGAACACCAGUGGCGAAGGCGACUACCUGGACUGAUACUGACACUGAGGUGCGAAAGCGUGGGGAGCAAACAGGAUUAGAUACCCUGGUAGUCCACGCCGUAAACGAUGUCGACUAGCCGUUGGGAUCCUUGAGAUCUUAGUGGCGCAGCUAACGCAUUAAGUCGACCGCCUGGG